rnacentral:rRNA from 1 species
AUUGAACGCUGGCGGCAUGCUUUACACAUGCAAGUCGAACGGUAACAGGCCGCAAGGUGCUGACGAGUGGCGAACGGGCGAGUAACGCAUCGGAACGUGCCCAGUCGUGGGGGAUAACGCAGCGAAAGCUGCGCUAAUACCGCAUACGAUCUCUGGAUGAAAGCGGGGGACCGAAAGGCCUCGCGCGAUGGGAGCGGCCGAUGUCAGAUUAGGUAGUUGGUGGGGUAAAGGCUCACCAAGCCAACGAUCUGUAGCUGGUCUGAGAGGACGACCAGCCACACUGGGACUGAGACACGGCCCAGACUCCUACGGGAGGCAGCAGUGGGGAAUUUUGGACAAUGGGCGCAAGCCUGAUCCAGCAAUGCCGCGUGCAGGAAGAAGGCCUUCGGGUUGUAAACUGCUUUUGUACGGAACGAAACGGUCCUGGUUAAUACCUGGGGCUAAUGACGGUACCGUAAGAAUAAGCACCGGCUAACUACGUGCCAGCCGCCGCGGUAAUAC